UCUCAUUUCAGAAGAGGGAUUUCCAAAUCCCUCUUUCGAACGACGCCCGAGCUCUGCUUGGUUUCUCAUUUUCUUCUUCCGUCGGUGGGUGAGCUCCGAAUCUUUGAAGGAUUUCAGGCAUAUCUCUCCUGCCGUUGCUUGAUUUUGCAGUAACAAUGGCAGCACUGCUCGGUAUUCCUUUUCCUUUUAGAAGGUGCAUCAUAAGGAUCUUGUCAAUGUUAACUAGUAGUGAUAAUAUUAUAGUUCUACAUUUGGCAUUGUUGUAAGCCUGUUGGAGUAGACAGGGUCCAGUUGUAUUUCAAACAGUUCCUCUCCUUCGUUUAGAUAAUGUUUCAUACAUUCUCCUCACACCACAGAGGCUGAGGGUAUGAGGAAUCAAUACACUGGCACCUUCACAUCACAUGUUUAAUUUGUGAUCGAUAUUUAUUAAA